AAGAGACAGCAGCCGCCGCGGGAAUACGUAGGGUGCAAGCGUUAAUCGGAAUUACUGGGCGUAAAGCGUGCGCAGGCGGUUGUGUAAGACAGGUGUGAAAUCCCCGGGCUUAACCUGGGAAUUGCAUUUGUGACUGCACGACUAGAGUGUGUCAGAGGGGGGUGGAAUUCCACGUGUAGCAGUGAAAUGCGUAGAUAUGUGGAGGAACACCAAUGGCGAAGGCAGCCCCCUGGGAUAACACUGACGCUCAUGCACGAAAGCGUGGGGAGCAAACAGGAUUAGAUACCCCUGUAGUCCCUGUCUCUUAUAC
rnacentral:rRNA from 1 species